UACGUAGGGGGCGAGCGUUGUCCGGAAUUAUUGGGCGUAAAGAGCGCGCAGGCGGCUAUUUAAGUCUACCGUGAAAGCUUACGGCUCAACCGUAACAGGCCGGUGGAUACUGGAUGGCUUGAGUGCGGGAGAGGGUAGUGGAAUUCCCAGUGUAGAGGUGAAAUUCGUAGAUAUUGGGAAGAACACCAGUGGCGAAGGCAGCUACCUGGACCGCAACUGACGCUGUGGCGCGAAAGCGUGGGGAGCAAAC
rnacentral:rRNA from 1 species